UGGGGAAUAUUGGACAAUGGGGGCAACCCUGAUCCAGCCAUGCCGCGUGUGUGAAGAAGGCCUUAGGGUUGUAAAACACUUUCAGCGGGGAAGAUGAUGACGGUACCCGCAGAAGAAGCCCCGGCUAACUCCGUGCCAGCAGCCGCGGUAAUACGGAGGGGGCUAGCGUUGUUCGGAAUUACUGGGCGUAAAGGGCGUGUAGGCGGCCUGCCAAGUCAGAUGUGAAAGCCCCGGGCUUAACCUGGGAACUGCAUUUGAGACUGGCCGGCUAGAGGUUGGAAGAGGAGAGUGGAAUUCCCAGUGUAGAGGUGAAAUUCGUAGAUAUUGGGAAGAACACCAGUGGCGAAGGCGGCUCUCUGGUCCACACCUGACGCUGAGGCGCGAAAGCGUGGGGAGCAAACAGGAUUAGAUACCCCAGUAGUCCCUGAGCGGGCUGGCAAGGCGCAU
rnacentral:rRNA from 1 species